AUUGAACGCUGGCGGCAGGCCUAACACAUGCAAGUCGAGCGGAUGAAGGGAGCUUGCUCCUGGAUUCAGCGGCGGACGGGUGAGUAAUGCCUAGGAAUCUGCCUGGUAGUGGGGGAUAACGUCCGGAAACGGGCGCUAAUACCGCAUACGUCCUGAGGGAGAAAGUGGGGGAUCUUCGGACCUCACGCUAUCAGAUGAGCCUAGGUCGGAUUAGCUAGUUGGUGGGGUAAAGGCCUACCAAGGCGACGAUCCGUAACUGGUCUGAGAGGAUGAUCAGUCACACUGGAACUGAGACACGGUCCAGACUCCUACGGGAGGCAGCAGUGGGGAAUAUUGGACAAUGGGCGAAAGCCUGAUCCAGCCAUGCCGCGUGUGUAAAGAAGGUCUUCGGAUUGUAAAGCACUUAAGUUGGGAGGAAGGGCAGUAAGUUAAUACCUUGCUGUUUUGACGUUACCAACAGAAUAAGCACCGGCUAACUUCGUG
rnacentral:rRNA from 1 species